CACGGAAUUAGCCGGUCCUUAUUCGUAUGGUACCUGCAAAUAGGGACACGUCCCUAACUUUAUCCCCAUGCAAAAGCAGUUUACAACCCAUAGGGCCGUCAUCCUGCACGCUACUUGGCUGGUUCAGACUUCCGUCCAUUGACCAAUAUUCCUCACUGCUGCCUCCCGUAGGAGUUUGGACCGUGUCUCAGUUCCAAUGUGGGGGACCUUCCUCUCAGAACCCCUACUGAUCGUCGCCUUGGUGGGCCGUUACCCCGCCAACAAGCUAAUCAGACGCAUCCCCAUCCAUUACCGAUAAAUCUUACUUCAAAUCUGAUGCCGUCAUCGAAGACUAUGCGGUAUUAGUCUGCCUUUCGGCAGGUUAUCCCACAGUAAUGGGAAGUUGGAUACGCGUACUCACCGUGCGCCGGUCGACGUCCAAAGAGUGCAAGCACUACAACUGUCCGUUUCCCCCUUACCGACUUCGCACUGUGUUAAGUCCUGUA
rnacentral:rRNA from 1 species